rnacentral:rRNA from 1 species
GUGCCAGCCGCCGCGGUAAGACGAAGGAUGCAAGCGUUAUCCGGAUUCAUUGGGUUUAAAGGGAGCGUAGGUGGGUUUGUAAGUCAGUGGUGAAAGCCGGUCGCUUAACGAUCGAAUUGCCAUUGAUACUGCAGACCUUGAGUACAGAUGCUGUGGGCGGAAUAUGACAUGUAGUGGUGAAAUACAUAGAGAUGUCAUAGAACACCGAUUGCGAAGGCAGCUCACAAAACUGUAACUGACACUGAGGCUCGAAAGUGCGGGGAUCAAACAGGAUUAGAAACCCCCGUAGUCC